rnacentral:rRNA from 1 species
AUACAGAGGGUGUGAGCGUUAAUCGGAAUUACUGGGCGUAAAGCGCGCGUAGGCGGCUUAUUAAGUCAGAUGUGAAAUCCCCGGGCUCAACCUGGGAACUGCAUCUGAUACUGGUAAGCUAGAGUUUUGGAGAGGGAAGUAGAAUUUCAGGUGUAGCGGUGAAAUGCAUAGAGAUCUGAAGGAAUACCAGUGGCGAAGGCGACUUCCUGGCCAAAAACUGACGCUGAGGUGCGAAAGCGUGGGUAGCAAACGGGAUUAGAAACCCGGGUAGUCC